CAGGGAGACAACAAAAUGUUUAAUAUUAUAAUUUUGUCACCUUAGGUCGAUCGGUAUCUCACGUUCUUAAUUAGUUAAGAAUUUCAUUUCCUAAGUUUUUCUAGGUCACACCCAUUAUUUUUCCUGGGCCAUUAGCUCAGGUGGUUAGAGCGCACCCCUGAUAAGGGUGAGGUCCCUGGUUCAAGUCCAGGAUGGCCCAUAUCUCUAUGUUGGGGGUAUAGCUCAGUUGGUAGAGCGCCUGCUUUGCAAGCAGGAUGUCAGCGGUUCGAGUCCGCUUACCUCCACUGAUUACCACCUCUUCCAUAACCGGUAGAAAGGAAAUGUUUUGAGUUGUGAUCAUUAUUCUGAACGAAUCUAGCUUCCUAAUGAAACCAUUAAGAUGCUGGACUCAUUGAAUUAAUUUCAUUGUUUUCAGAGAACCUUGACAACUGCAUAGAUUUUUUUAAAGACAAUAAGCAUCUUUAAUGAUGCAGAUUUAUUAUUUGUGCGAAUGCAUUAAUAACAAUUCUAUUAAGCUGAUGCUUCAAUUUUUGAAGUUAUU
rnacentral:tRNA from 1 species